rnacentral:tRNA from 1 species
ACUAAUUUGGCAGAAAAAAUUGUAUCAAAUUUAGAAUUUGAGUAUGGGUAUUCCAAUUAGUA